UACGUAGGUGGCAAGCGUUGUCCGGAAUUAUUGGGCGUAAAGCGCGCGCAGGCGGCCUUUUAAGUCUGAUGUGAAAUCUUGCGGCUCAACCGCAAGCGGCCAUUGGAAACUGGGAGGCUUGAGUACAGAAGAGGAGAGUGGAAUUCCACGUGUAGCGGUGAAAUGCGUAGAUAUGUGGAGGAACACCAGUGGCGAAGGCGACUCUCUGGUCUGUAACUGACGCUGAGGCGCGAAAGCGUGGGGAGCAAACAGGAUUAGAAACCCCCGUAGUCC
rnacentral:rRNA from 1 species